rnacentral:rRNA from 1 species
UAAAAAUGACUCUCGGCAAUGGAUAUCUCGGCUCUUGCAUCGAUGAAGAACGUAGCGAAAUGCGAUACNUGGUGUGAAUUGCAGAAUCCCGNGAACCAUCGAAACUUUGAACGCAAGUUGCGCCUCAAGCCAUUNGGUUGAGGGCACGUAUGCUUGGGUGUCAUGC